AUUGAGCGCUGGCGGCAGGCCUAACACAUGCAAGUCGAACGGUAACAGAAAGCAGCUUGCUGCUUUGCUGACGAGUGGCGGACGGGUGAGUAAUGUCUGUGACACUGCCUGAUGGAGGGGGAUAACUACUGGAAACGGUAGCUAAUACCGCAUAACGUCGCAAGACCAAAGAGGGGGACCUUCGGGCCUCUUGCCAUCGGAUGUGCCCAGAUGGGAUUAGCUAGUAGGUGGGGUAACGGCUCACCUAGGCGACGAUCCCUAGCUGGUCUGAGAGGAUGAACAGCCACACUGGAACUGAGACACGGUCCAGACUCCUACGGGAGGCAGCAGUGGGGAAUAUUGCACAAUGGGCGCAAGCCUGAUGCAGCCAUGCCGCGUGUAUGAAGAAGGCCUUCGGGUUGUAAAGUACUUUCAGCGGGGAGGAAGGGAGUAAAGUUAAUACCUUGGCUCAUUGACGUUACCCGCAGAAGAAGCACCGGCUAACUCCGUG
rnacentral:rRNA from 1 species